CCUACGGGAGGCAGCAGUGAGGAAUAUUGGUCAAUGGUCGGGAGACUGAACCAGCCAAGUCGCGUGAAGGAGGAAUGCACUGUGGAUUGUAAACCUCUUUUGUCAGGGAACAAAAGCGGGGACGUGUCCCGGGCUGAGUGUACCUGAAGAAAAAGCAUCGGCUAACUCCGUGCCAGCAGCCGCGGUAAUACGGAGGAUGCGAGCGUUAUCCGGAUUUAUUGGGUUUAAAGGGUGCGUAGGCGGUCUGUUAAGUCAGCGGUAAAAUGGCGGGGCUCAACCCCGUCCAGCCGUUGAAACUGGCAGACUCGAGUUGGAGAGAAGUAUGCGGAAUGCGCGGUGUAGCGGUGAAAUGCAUAGAUAUCGCGCAGAACUCCGAUUGCGAAGGCAGCGUACCGGCUCCAGACUGACGCUGAGGCACGAAAGCGUGGGUAUCGAACAGGAUUAGAUACCCUUGUAGUC
rnacentral:rRNA from 1 species